UUGACCUCGGAUCAGGUAGGAUUACCCGCUGAACUUAAGCAUAUCAAUAAGCGGAGGAAAAGAAACCAACAGGGAUUGCCCCAGUAACGGCGAGUGAAGCGGCAACAGCUCAAAUUUGAAAUCUGGCCUUCGGGUCCGAGUUGUAAUUUGGAGAGGAUGCUUUUGGCGCGGCGCCGU
rnacentral:rRNA from 1 species